rnacentral:RNase_P_RNA from 1 species
AUAAUUCAGGAGGAAAGUCCGGACUUCACAGGGCAAGGGAGACAGUUAACGGCUGUUGGAAGAAAUUCUAAGGAAAGUGCCACAGAAAAUAUACCGCCUAAUUUUUUAGGUAAGGGUGAAAUGGUAGUGUAAGAGACUACCGGUGAUUUAAGAGAUUAAAUCAGCCAGGUAAACCCCUCUCGAAGCAAGAAUAAGCAGAAAGUGGUUAAAAGGCUGCCCGUCUUCACUUAAUGGGUAAUUCGCUAAAGCUGACAGGUAACUGUUUGAUUAGAUAAAUGACUGGCAAAUACAGAAUCCGGCUUAUAC